rnacentral:rRNA from 1 species
UGGUAGUGUAUUGGACAACCAUGGCAGUCACGGGUAACGGAGAAUUAGGGUUCGAUACCGGAGAGGGAGCCUGAGAAACGGCUACCACAUCUAAGGAAGGCAGCAGGCGCGUAAAUUACCCAAUCCCAAUUCGGGGAGGUAGUGACAAGAAAUAACAACUUGAGUGGUUCGCCACUUCGGGAUUGCAAUGAGAUAAGUCUAAAUCCGUAAGCGAUUACCAAUUGGAGGGCAAGUCUGGUGCCAGCAGCCGCGGUAAUUCCAGCUCCAAUAGCGUAUACUUAAGUUGUUGCAGUUAAAAAGCUCGUAGUUGAAAAUCGAAUCAGCUUCAUUAUGGCUUCGGUCAUACUUGUUAGCUGGUUCUCCGUCUACAAACCUUUUUGCUCUUUUACGAGUGCAGCUUGGAGAGUAGACAAUUUACCUUGAAAAAAUUAGAGUGUUCCAGGCAGGUCUUCGCCGGAAUACAUUAGCAUGGAAUAAUGGAAUAGGACUAUGGUCUUUUGUUGGUUUUAGGGCCAGUGUAAUGAUUAAUAGGGACAGAUGGGGGCAUUAGUAUUUAAUUGUCAGAGGUGAAAUUCUUGGAUUUAUUAAAGACUAACUUAUGCGAAAGCAUUUGCCAAGGAUGUUUUCAUUAAUCAAGAACGAAAGUUAGGGGAUCAAAGACGAUUAGA